rnacentral:rRNA from 1 species
AGAGUUUGAUCCUGGCUCAGGAUGAACGCUAGCGGCAGACUUAAUACAUGUGAGUCGAGGGGCAGCGGAUCCCUCCGGGGAUGCCGGCGACCGGCGAACGGGUGAGUAACACGUAUGGAACCUGCCCUUAACUGGGAAAUAGCUUUGAGAAAUCGAAGGUAAUGUCCCAUACCAUCUGAAGAAGGCAUCUUUUUCAGAUGAAAGCUCCGGCGGUUAAGGAUGGCCAUGCGGUCCAUUAGCUUGUUGGUGAGAUAACCGCUCACCAAGGCUGCGAUGGAUAGCUGAUCUGAGAGGAUGAUCAGCCACAUUGGCACUGAGACACGGGCCAAACUCCUACGGGAGGCAGCAGUAGGGAAUCUUGGUCAAUUGGCGAAAGCCAGAACCAGUCAUGCCGCGUGCAGGAUGAAGGCCCUACGGGUCGUAAACUGCUUUUAUUCGGGAAGAAAAAGUCUGUUUCCACAGACCUUGACGGUACCGAUUGAAUAAGGACCGGCCAACUCCGUGCCAGCAGCCGCGGUAAUACGGAGGGUCCAAGCGUUAUCCGGAUUUCACUGGGUUUAAAGGGUGCGCAGGCGGCUAAGUAAGUCAGUGGUGAAAGCCUUCGGCUCAACCGGAGAAUUGCCAUUGAAACUACUUAGCUUGAGUGCAGUAGAGGUAGGCGGAAUGUAGCAUGUAGCGGUGAAAUGCAUAGAUAUGCUACAGAACACCGAUAGCGAAAGCAGC